rnacentral:rRNA from 1 species
UACAGAGGUCUCAAGCGUUGUUCGGAUUCAUUGGGCGUAAAGGGUGCGUAGGCGGCGCGGUAAGUCGGGUGUGAAAUCUCGGAGCUUAACUCCGAAACUGCAUUCGAUACUGCCGUGCUUGAGGACUGGAGAGGAGACUGGAAUUUACGGUGUAGCGGUGAAAUGCGUAGAGAUGUGGAGGAACACCGAUGGCGAAGGCGGCGUUCUGGACUGUUUCUGACACUGAAAGACGAAAGCCAGGGGAGCAAACGGG